CUUCCCUAGUUUCUCCUCCGCUCCGCUCAGUUUCGCUCUAUGGACAGAUCAGGAACCCUGGACGCGGAGGAGCUCAAGGUUAUUUUUCCUUUCUAUGAAGAAGAAGUAAGCUCAUGCAACACCAGAGUGGAAAUGCCAGUUAUAAAAGAUGGAUGAAAAGUGGAUAAUUGUAAGUGAGGAAGUCAGAAGACCUGGUGCUUGAACUUCUUAAUACAUAAUUUCAGAAAACUAUCUCUUUGUGGACUGAUAUUCACUGAUACCCAGUGGCAGGUACUACACAAGAUAUUAGAGAAUCCAAACUUAUAUGAGUGCUUCAAUAAAACGCCAAAAGUGUUAUUCUGAGCAGUAAGAAAAUUGGAACGCUGCUAUCCUGGAAUCUGUCCCUCAGCAAAAUAUUACAUGAAAGCAGAUGAACACACAGAGUAAAUAUGUGUUUCAACUACUCCAUGAUGCGUAUCAUCAAUCUAAUUUUUAAAGUCGCUCUGUAUUUUUCAGAGUAGUCUAAAAAUGAUGAAUAAAUUGUAAAAAUUGUCUCUGUAGAUAAUGUAUUCACAUUGUGAUUGUAAAUCCUUGAACUGUAACAGCACAUUUAUCACCUAUCUUGUCACAUUUACUGUUACAUUUUCAACUUGGAUGUGAUUGUAUGUAGCUUCUACCUAAGGAGAACUUUUGGAUUUAUGAAGUGAAAAUGUAGCUACUGAAGUACUGUAUAAUUUUAAAGUUAAAAUGUUGGAGAUUCUUUGUUUUCUUGCUUUGUGCAGAUUUCAGCAAUUAUAUGACAUAUCUUAUAAUAGCAUUUAAUAGCUGUACAAUAUGGUCCGUGCAGCACUUUGUAGCUCUUUACGAGCAAAGAAAAUAUGUAAGGCAUUUACUAAGUGAAUCUUUCCUAGCUGAACACCAUUGCUGUAAAGCUAACAUAUUAAAACACAUUAAACACAUUGAAAUUAAUGAGAUACUUUCUUUCCAUGUCCAGUGGGUACUGUAGUAAGGUUUUGUUUGGGCAGAUAUAGAGGCAGAUUUACGGAAACUAUGAAAGGUUUCAUUACCAGACUGAUAGCCACAGGCAUAAUUCCUAUACUUUUUACCAGUCUUAUCACUAUCAAAAGGACUCUAUGUUCCUGCUAGUUUGCUUUCAAUAUCACAGUCUGCCUCCUGAUUUUUCGCAUAAAAAACAAAAACAUAUUUCCUCCAAAGAAACUGCUCUAAAUUUGUCAGUAAAAUACAGGAACUAUAGAACCUGAUGCAUACCCUAAUUAUCUGUGUCUGAGCUGUAAACAGUGUUUCCAUUCACUCCUAAAGCGUGCUGAAAAAAAUAAGUAUACAAACUUUGUAUUGAAAUUUUGGUGGAAAUGGAAACAGUUAAAAAAGGUCCUCAAAAGGAAAACAAUAUUUUCCUUGGUUUUUUUCAUGUUAGUUACUGUGCUGUGGUAUCUUUCUGCAGUGCAUUACUACAGUGCUUGAAACACAGUAGGUGGUAUUCUUAAGUCAGUAUAGGGGCAAAUUAAGCAUGGUUUCCUGCAAAGUGCCUGCACAGUAUUUAUAAGUUGCAGUUUGCCUAUGUACCUUUGACAUCGAGUGCAAACAACUUAGUGAGCAGUGCAGUGUCCAUCUGAUUUAAACAUUAACUGAUUUAAUGAUUUUCCCUGUUUCAGCUUUUAUAGGCCUAAUUAUGGGCAUUACACAUAGUUGCGUCUUUCAUCCUAAUUAUAUGCUGGCUCAAUGAUUUCUCAUGAUUUAACUACUAAUUGCUAACCAGUA